UACGGCCCCCAUAUAUUCCGUCGCUGCAGUUCCUUCCAAAUUGUAGUCUUUUUCUAAAUUUCUUUAAACUUCAAGGAUGAGCCAGGAACGGCCACGGAGGCCUCGCGAUGAGAGAGAUUUUAUUUGCGUUGGGGUGCGACCUUGAAGUUGGUAAGGGACAAGGUAGCAACUUAGUAGGACGCUGAAGGAGUGCUAAGUGGUGUGAAGCUAAGGAGCAAUACAAAUAUGGCAACCCAGCCAGGAGGAGUGGCAGUGUCAAAGCACUCUCAUUGGAUUAUGCAAAUGCAAAUCUAAUGGGGGUGCUUGGCUAAUAGAGUUUUAAAAUAUGUUGCAUUGGAUUAUGUAAAUAUAAAAGGGGAUGACUUUUGCUACAGUAAGUUAGUGUUGUAGGUCAAAUUUGAUAGUUAUUGUAGUAUGGUUAAAAAGAAUAAAAAAGAUUUUCUUCCUUACUUCCUAAAA